rnacentral:rRNA from 1 species
GUGGGGAAUUUUGGACAAUGGGCGCAAGCCUGAUCCAGCAAUGCCGCGUGUGUGAAGAAGGCCUUCGGGUUGUAAAGCACUUUUGGCAGGAAAGAAAUAGCGCGUGCUAAUACCAUGCGCGAAUGACGGUACCUGCAGAAUAAGCACCGGCUAACUACGUGCCAGCAGCCGCGGUAAGACGUAGGGUGCAAGCGUUAAUCGGAAUUACUGGGCGUAAAGCGUGCGCAGGCGGUUUUGUAAGACAGGUGUGAAAUCCCCGGGCUCAACCUGGGAACUGCACUUGUGACUGCAAGGCUAGAGUGUGUCAGAGGGAGGUGGAAUUCCGCGUGUAGCAGUGAAAUGCGUAGAGAUGCGGAGGAACACCGAUGGCGAAGGCAGCCUCCUGGGAUAACACUGACGCUCAGGCACGAAAGCGUGGGGAGCAAACAGGAUUAGAAACCCGAGUAGUCC